CCUACGGGUGGCAGCAGUGAGGAAUAUUGGUCAAUGGCCGUAAGUCUGAACCAGCCAAGUAGCGUGAGGGAAGACUGCCCUAUGGGUUGUAAACCUCUUUUAUGUGGGGAUAAAAUUUUCCACGUGUGGAUUUUUGUAUGUACCGUAUGAAUAAGGAUCGGCUAAUUCCGUGCCAGCAGCCGCGGUAAUACGGAGGGUCCGGGCGUUAUCCGGAUUUAUUGGGUUUAAAGGGAGCGUAGGUGGGUCGUUAAGCCUGCUGUGAAAUUUUGCGGCUCAACCGUGAGAGUGCAGUGGGAACUGGAGGCCUUGAGUGCAGGAGAGGCGGGCGGAAUUCGUGGUGUAGCGGUGAAAUGCUUAGAUAUCACGAAGAACCCCGAUUGCGAAGGCAGCCUACCGGAGUGCAACUGACACUGAGGCUCGAAAGCGCGGGUAUCGAACAGGAUUAGAUACCCUUGUAGUC
rnacentral:rRNA from 1 species